CACCAGACCACAAACGUGGAUGGAGUUUCACUCUUAUGGCCCAGGCUGGAGUGCAAUGGCGUGAUCUCAGCUCACCACAACCUCUGCCUCCCGGGUUCAAGUGGUUCUCCUACCUCAGCCUCCUGAGUAGCUGCGAUUACAGAUACAUAGCUCUGGCCAAGAAGUGUGGUUUUGAAGAGCCCAAACUGUAUCUGUUACCUGAUUUCAAAGAAUAUUCCACCUAGGAGAGACCCAGGUCCUGCAGACUUCCUCUGGACACUUUUGGCAGUCAUUGUUCCCAGCUGAUUCUGCAACAGAUGAAGGACGGAGGAUAGAAUCAUGAAUAGCAACAUCUUAAUUGCUGACUGGGUGUUGAUUCUAAGGAUACCCCCAAUAAACAUCUUUCGUGCUAAAGCCCAUUCCAGAAUUUACUUCCCAGCUAUCUUUGAUGUUCAUAUUGUCAGAGGUGGUGGCCGCUGAAACAGGCAAAGACAUGGAGCAUAUCUUGGGUCCAGGACCUUGGGAGUCCAGAGGAAGGUCUUUUUACCAUCAGCAUUCUCUACUGUGUUCAAUGACUGUCAGCCAAAGAUGGCCAGGUUCUCUACUGUGAUGGUGAAUUUUAUGUGUCAAUUUGACUGGACCAUGGGAUGCCCAGCUUUCCUUCAGAAAGAAAUGCAUUCAAAGAACCUACAUUCACAACAUAAAGAAAUAAAGCCUGCACCUACAGAUCUACACACAUGCCCAUGCACAUGCAGGAAGUGUUCAUCUAAGACUGGACCUUUUAGAAGAAAGCUGGCAUACAUUCGUGAAGGCAUGGGCUUCCAGGCAUGUCAUCUUCACUCACGAAGCACACACAAGACCGCCAAGCAUUAAGAUUCUCCUGUGGAGCCAGGCUACAAUCCUUUAAAUGAAGACAGACAGCUAGGUGGCUGCAGCCCAGCGCUACACCUCACCCCUCCCUCAGUGUCAUGCAGAAAAAAUGUAUUCAGAACUCAGAAGUGAAGUUGUGCAAAUCCAUCAUUGACACUAGCUUCAAGGUUACCUCGGGGGAGCAGAAUGUACCCCUGCCAGAGAGCUGGAUAGAUGAUGAUGGGGACAGAAAUUCUGGGGGAGUUGUAAAUGGCAGCCACUGCCUCUAUAGGAAACCCAAAGGGAACACAGCAGAAGAGGAGGUGGUGGAGGAGCCACUGCCCUCUCGAAGGGUUCAAUGUCAUUCUGCAGACACAACCAAAUAACUUUUUCUUCCCUGCUGCUCCUCCAUUUG
rnacentral:lncRNA from 10 species